rnacentral:rRNA from 1 species
GAUGAACGCUGGCGGCGUGCCUAACACAUUCAAGUCGAACGGAGUUAUUUCAAUUGAUCCUUCGGGUGAUUUUGGCUUAACUUAGUGGCGGACGGGUGAGUAACGCGUGAGCAACCUACCUUGACUGGGGAAUAACACAGGGAAACUUGUGCUAAUACCGCAUAACACAGCGAGAUCGCAUGUUCUUGCUGUCAAAGAUUUAUCGGUCAUAGAUGGGCUCGCGUCUGAUUAGAUAGUUGGUAAGGUAACGGCUUACCAAGUCUGCGAUCAGUAGCCGGACUGAGAGGUUGAACGGCCACAUUGGAACUGAGAUACGGUCCAGACUCCUACGGGAGGCAGCAGUGGGGAAUAUUGGGCAAUGGGCGAAAGCCUGACCCAGCGACGCCGCGUGAGGGAAGAAGGUCUUCGGAUUGUAAACCUCUUUUAUAUGGAACGAAGCAAGUGACGGUACCAUAAGAAAAAGCCACGGCUAACUACGUG